rnacentral:rRNA from 1 species
CAUGCAUGUAUAAGUGUAACCUGCCAGACAGGGAAACUGCGUACGGCUCAUUACACCAGCUAUAAUUUACUUGACCUUGACUUUCUUACUUGGAUAACUGUGGUAAUUCUAGAGCUAAUACAUGCACCAAAGCUCCAAUCUUCCCAGAGCGGAGCGCAUUUGUUCGCCACAAAACCAAGCGCCUUCGGGCGUCCAGUGUUGACUCAGAACAACUAAGCUGAUCGCACGGUCUUGCACCGGCGACGUGUCUUUCAAGUGUCUGCCUUAUCAACUUUCGAUGGUAGUGUACCUGACUACCAUGGUGAUGACGGGUAACGGAGGAUAAGGGUUCGACUCCGGAGAAGGGGCCUGAGAAAUGGCCACUACGUCUAAGGAUGGCAGCAGGCGCGCAAAUUACCCACUCUCAACAUGAGGAGGUAGUGACGAGAAAUAACGAGACCGAUCUCUUAUGAGGCCGGUCAUCGGAAUGGGUACAAUUUAAACCCUUUAACGAGUAUCUAUGAGAGGGCAAGUCUGGUGCCAGCAGCCGCGGUAAUUCCAGCUCUCAAAAUGCAUAGAAUUAUUGCUGCGGUUAAAAAGCUCGUAGUUGGAUCUGUGCUAGCCGGCCGGUCCACCCACUGGGUGCGCACUGGUUCGGUUGGCUUUUCUGCCGGUCUCUCCCCGGCGUUGGCCUUCACUGGUCGGCGUCGGUGGGCUGGCGAGUUUACUUUGAACAAAUCAGAGUGCUUCAAACAGGCGUUUCGCUUGAAUGUUCGUGCAUGGAAUAAUAGAAGAGGAUUUCGGUCCGAUUUUAUUGGUUUUGCUGACCGAGAUAAUGGUUAACAGAGACAAACGGGGCCAUUCGUAUUGCUACGUGAGAGGUGAAAUUCUUGGACCGUAGCAAGACGGACUACAGCGAAAGCAUUUGGCAAGAAUGUCUUCAUUAAUCAAGAACGAAAGUCAGAGGUUCGAAGGCGAUCAGAUACCGCCCUAGUUCUGACCGUAAACGAUGCCAACUAGCGAUCCGCCGGCGGAUUUAUUCGCCCUGGUGGGGAGCUUCCCGGAAACGAAAGUCUUCCGGUUCCGGGGGAAGUAUGGUUGCAAAGCUGAAACUUAAAGGAAUUGACGGAAGGGCACCACCAGGAGUGGAGCCUGCGGCUUAAUUUGACUCAACACGGGGAAACUCACCCGGCCCGGACACCGUAAGGAUUGACAGAUUGAUAGCUUUUUCAUGAUUCGGUGGAUGGUGGUGCAUGGCCGUUCUUAGUUCGUGGAGCGAUUUGUCUGGUUUAUUCCGAUAACGAGCGAGACUCUAGCCUACUAAAUAGUUGGCUCAUUGCUACUGUGGGCACAACUUCUUAGAGGGAUUUUCGGUGUUCAGCCGCACGAAAUUGAGCAAUAACAGGUCUGUGAUGCCCUUAGAUGUCCGGGGCUGCACGCGCGCUACACUGGCAAAAUCAGCGUGCUUGUCCUUCCCCGAAAGGGGUUGGUAAACCGGUGAAAAUUUGCCGUGAUUGGGAUCGGACAUUGCAAUUAUUGUCCGUGAACGAGGAAUUCCUUGUAGGGGCGAGUCAUCAACUCGCUCUGAUUACGUCCCUGCCCUUUGUACACACCGCCCGUCGCUGCCCGGGACUGAGCCAAUUCGAGAAACUCGGGGACGAUUAUGCGUGCCGGCUUCGGUCGGCGCGUUGAUUGAAACCGAUUUAAUCGCAGUGGCUUGAGCCGGGCAAAAGUCGUAACAAGGUAGCUGUAGGUGAACCUGCUGCUGGAUCAUUACCCAAGUGAACCAAUUCACCACCUACCUGCUGUCCCGUUGAGUCAAUGUGGGCAACACCAUAUGCCUCCGUUUGUUGUUGACGGGCACAUGCCCAUGGGUUUGGGCUGGCACAUUGGCCAACAAGAUUGUACGGACAGCGCCCUGUGGGCACAAGAGUUUUGGGGUGCUGCUGAUGUUGGUGGCCCGAUGGGUGAGCCGACGAUUGUUGCUGUCGUCGGGUCGCUGCGCCAACAAAGGUUGCACGCUCAUAGGGCACCCUAACGGCUGUGCUGGCGUCUGUGCGUCGUUGAGCGGUUGUUGCGCCUUGCGCAGAUAUGCUGACGUGGAGUGUAGGCUGCGCUCCAUGUUGUACGCACCGUACCCAGCGGCAUGUCUGAGCUUGUGUGCUACGUCCGUGGCCGUGAUGAGACGACGUGUUAGGACCCGUGCCUGGCUGUGGCACGCGGUUUAAGACUUGAUGAGUGUCCGUCGGCACCGCCAGCGUUUUUCUCAUUUUCAUUAAUUUUUUCAAUGCAAUUCGUUGCUAAACAAAUAUUCUAGUCUUAUCGGUGGAUCACUCGGCUCGUGGAUCGAUGAAGAACGCAGCCAACUGCGAUAAUUAGUGUGAACUGCAGAAACCUUGAACACAGAACUUUCGAAUGCACAUUGCGCCAUUGGAGUGACAUCCAUUGGCACGCCCGGUUCAGGGUCGUAACCAAAAAAUGCACCGCAUGUGCAUGUUUUUGUUGCUAGUAUCACGCUCCGGCGUGUUCUUGCAUAACAUUGAUUGCUACGUUGUGUGUAGCGUGAGAGGUGCUGGCGCGAAAAUGUGUUGUAUUUCGCGCUUUACAGACCGUAAUUCAGGCACCCCCUCGUUCACAUGCGAUAGCGGAAUGCCAUUGCCAAUGGGCAUGUGCAACUGAACAU